GAGGGUUAUACAGAGCUGUACGUGCUUGUAGUCGGAGCAAUGCGUAAAGGACGUUUGUUUCUCGUAAUAGUAAAAUAAAACACUUUGGUAUGCAGUUGUUCAGCAUUUAAUUUUCUCUUGCUGAAGUAGUCGUUUAAUACGUCGAGUCAAAUGAUAUGUACGUCGUUAACAAAACCGUGUUUAUGCGUUUUAAACGCACUACUGUACACGGCGUGCAGUUCUCAUUGAUUUGAAUGCCGGAACUCGACGGUAUUUCCGGUAAAGCAGAAAGGGAUUUUUCCGGGUCGUGGCAGUUUCUCGUGGAGGUGCUGUGUGGGUGACUCCAUACUCAGUUUACAUCAGAAUGAUGGACAUCACUGAGGGAACAAUCCUGAAAAAAUACACACUUUAAUAAUGGGAUACAAAGGCUGGUUGACACAAAUUUUGAGUGUUGGAGUGUGUGAGAGAGAGAGAGAGAGAGAGUGAGCAUGAGUGUGAGUGAGUGAAUCAAUCAAUCGAUGCAAUAGAAUGGUGUCUAUACACCACGCUCAACUUUCAUAAUAAACCUUAUUUUUCAUACUAAA